rnacentral:rRNA from 1 species
AGAGUUUGAUCAUGGCUCAGGAUGAACGCUGGCGGCGUGGAUAAGGCAUGCAAGUCGAGGGCCCCGCAAGGGGACCGGCAGACGAGGUAGUAAUAAAUAGGUACGCACCCUGGAGUCGGGCAUAGCUAUCCGAAAGGAUAGGUAAUUCCCGAUAGUCUCGCAAGAGUAAAGUUUUUUCGCUCCGGGAGCGGCCUGUUCGGUAUCAGCUAGUUGGUAAGGUAACGGCUUACCAAGGCAAUGACACCUAGGGGACCUGAGAGGGUGACCCCCACCGAUGGGACUGAGACACGGCCCAUACACCUACGGGUGGCUGCAGUCGAGAAUUUUCCGCAAUGGGCGAAAGCCUGACGGAGCGACGCCGCGUGAAGGAUGAAGUUCUUCGGAACGUAAACUUCUUUUGCCAGGGACGAAAUUAUUGACGGUACCUGGAGAAUAAGAGGUUGCUAAACUCGUGCCAGCAGCAGCGGUAAUACGAGUGCCUCAAGCGUUAUCCGGAAUCAUUGGGCGUAAAGGGUGUGUAGGCGGUUUUGUUAGUCUCCUGUAAAAUCUCUCGGCUCAACCGAGAGUCUGCGGGGGAAACGGCAAGACUUAGAGGACGGAAGAGGUCUCUGGAACUCAUGGUGUAGCGGUGAAAUGCGUUGAUAUCAUGGGGAACACCAAAAGCGAAGGCAAGAGACUGGUCCACUCCUGACGCUGAAACACGAAAGCGUGGGUCGCGAAUGGGAUUAGAUACCCCAGUAGUCCACGCCCUAAACGAUGAUCUCUAGCUUUGAGGAGUAUCGACCCUCUUCGAGGCCAAGCAAACGCGAUAAGAGAUCCGCCUGGGUAGUACGGCCGCAAGGUUGAAACUCAAAGGAAUUGACGG